CUAGCGAUAUGAAGUUGAUCGGCGCAUUGCUCAUCGCCGCCGCAUUGAUCGCGGCCGUUGCUCCCCCGAGCGAGGCCGCGAUAGGAUGCGGCGCGGUGGUUUCAUACCUUAACCCAUGCCUCCCCUACGUGACAAACAAGGGUCCCUUAGGGGGGUGCUGCGGCGGCAUCAAGGGUCUCUACGGCGCUGCCAAGACGACGCCGGACAGGCAGAGCGUCUGCAACUGCCUCAAAACCCUCGCCAGUUCGUAUAAGGGCGUCAACCUCGGCAAGGCCGCCGGCCUCCCCGGACAAUGCGGCGUCAGCAUUCCCUACAAGAUCAGCCCUUCCACCGACUGCUCCAAGUAAGCAAAAUUAAAUAUUACUCUCUGUCCCAGCGAAUCUUGAGUCACUUUCCUUAUAUGACAAAAAAAUUCUCUUUAUUCACCAUUUCACUUUUUCACCUACCACACUUAAUACACUAAAUACGAUUUUCCUAAUUCCUGUGUCGAAAAGAAUUGCCUCAAGAUUCGCGGGACGGAGGGAGUAACAGAUAUUGGUAAUUUAAUUAAUUAAUGAUCAUGUUUAAUGUUGUGUUUUGCAGGGUGAAGUGAGGUUUGAUCAUGUGAUGCAGAUUAAUGAGCCGUAUUCCG
rnacentral:lncRNA from 1 species